rnacentral:rRNA from 1 species
AACGAACGCUGGCGGCAUGCCUAACACAUGCAAGUCGAACGAGACCUUCGGGUCUAGUGGCGCACGGGUGCGUAACGCGUGGGAACCUGCCCUUAGGUUCGGAAUAACUCCCCGAAAGGGGUGCUAACACCGGAUAAUGUCUUCGGACCAAAGAUUUAUCGCCUUUGGAUGGGCCCGCGUUGUAUUAGCUAGUUGGUAGGGUAAAAGCCUACCAAGGCUACGAUCCAUAGCUGGUCUGAGAGGAUGAUCAGCCACACUGGGACUGAGACACGGCCCAGACUCCUACGGGAGGCAGCAGUGGGGAAUAUUGGACAAUGGGCGAAAGCCUGAUCGAGCAAUGCCGCGUGAGUGAUGAAGGCCUUAGGGUUGUAAAGCUCUUUUACCCGGGAUGAUAAUGACAGUACCGGGAGAAUAAGCUCCGGCUAACUCCGUG